ACUGAGCGAGUGUUAAUUAAUAGGAAUGAGCCCGAGCCCGGGAAAACGGGCCGGCCCGCCAGAGGACCCCUAAACUCUGUUUCUAUAUGUAACUUCUGAGUAAAACCAUAAAUAAAUCAAAACUUUCAACAACGGAUCUCUUGGUUCUGGCAUCGAUGAAGAACGCAGCAAAAUGCGAUAAGUAAUGUGAAUUGCAGAAUUCAGUGAAUCAUCGAAUCUUUGAACGCACAUUGCGCCCGCCAGUAUUCUGGCGGGCAUGCCUGUUCGAGCGUCAUUUCAACCCUCAAGCCCUCGGGUUUGGUGUUGGGGAUCGGCGAGCCCUUGCGGCAAGCCGGCCCCGAAAUCUAGUGGCGGUCUCGCUGCAGCUUCCAUUGCGUAGUAGUAAAACCCUCGCAACUGGUACGCGGCGCGGCCAAGCCGUUAAACCCCCAACUUCUGAAUGUUGACCUCGGAUCAGGUAGGAAUACCCGCUGAACUUAAGCUAAUCAAUAAGCGGAGGAAGCA
rnacentral:rRNA from 1 species